UACAGAGGUCUCAAGCGUUGUUCGGAUUCAUUGGGCGUAAAGGGUGUGCAGGUGGCGCCGUAAGUCGGGUGUGAUAUUUCGGAGCUUAACUCCGAAACUGCAUUCGAUACUGCGGUGCUUGAGGACUGGAGAGGAGACUGGAAUUCAUGGUGUAGCAGUGAAAUGCGUAGAGAUCAUGAGGAAGACCAGUGGCGAAGGCGGGUCUCUGGACAGUUCCUGACACUGAGACACGAAGGCCAGGGGAGCAAACGGG
rnacentral:rRNA from 1 species